AGUUCGAUUAUGGCUCAGAUUGAACAAGCAGUGGGAUGCUUUACAUGCAAGUCGAACGGCAGCACGGACUUCGGUCUGGUGGCGAGUGGCGAACGGGUGAGUAAUGUAUCGGAACGUGCCUAGUAGCGGGGAUAACUACGCGAAAGCGUAGCUGGGGUUGUUCUGCUGUCAUUCUUCGGGGAGCGGGGGACCUUCGGGCCUGCACGGUUACGGCCGAUACCGGAUUAGCUAGUUGGUGGGUAACGGCUCACCAAGGCGGCGAUCCGUAGCUGGUUUGAGAGGACGACUCAGCCACACGGGGACUGAGACACGGCCCAGACUUUACGGAGGCAGAAGUGGGGAAUUUUGGACAAUGGGGGAAACCCUGAUCCAGCCAUCCUGGCGUGCGAUGAAGGCCUUCGGGUUGUAAAGCACUUUUGGCAGGAAAGAAACGGCACGGAUAAUACCUGUGCAACUGACGGUACCUGCAGAAUAAGCACCGGCUAACCACGCGCCAGCAGCCGCGGUAAUACGUAGGGGUGCAAGCGUUAAUCGGAAUUACUGGGCGUAAAGCGUGAGUGUCUGGAAGGCGGACAAAAUCCCAGAGCUUAACUUUGGAACUGCAUUUAACUACCGAGCGAGGUGUCAGAGGAGGUGGGACUCCGCGUGUAGCAGUGAAAUGCGUAGAUAUGCGGAGGAACACCGAUGGCGAAGGCAGCCUCUCCUGGGAUAACACUGACGCUCAUGCACGAAAGCGUGGGAGCAAAUCAGAUUAGAUACCCUGGUAAAUCACACCUUCAAACGAUGUCAACUAGCUGUUGGGGCCUUCGGGUCGGUAGCGGCAGCUAACGUGAAGUUGACCGCCUGGGGAGUACGGUCGUAAGAUUAAAAACUCAAAGGAAUUGAUUGGGACCCGCAUGCUGCGGAUGAUGUGGAUUAUCUUACGCAACGCGAAAACCUUACCACCCUUGAUAUGUCUGGAAUCCCGAAGGAUUUGGGAGUGUCGCAAGAGAACCGGAACACAGGUGCUGCAUGGCUGUCGUCAGCUCGUGUCGUGAGAUGUUGCUAAGUCCCGCAACGAGCGCAACCCUUGUCAUUAGUUGCUACGAAAGGGCACUCUAAUGAGACUGCCGGUGACAAAACUGGAGGAAGGUGAUGACGUCAAGUCCUCAUGGCCCUUAUGGGUAGGGCUUCACACGUCAUACAAUACCGGAAGACAGAGGGUCGCCAACCCGCGAGGGGGAGCCAAUCCCCAGAAACCCGAUCGUAGUCCGGAUCGCAGUCUGCAACUCGACUGCGUGAAGUCGGGAAUCGCUAGUAAUCAGUGGAUCAGCACGUCGCGGUGAAUACGUUCCCGGGUCUUGUACACACCGCCCGUCACACCAUGGGAGUGGCCACCAGAAGAAGGCCUAACCGUAAGGAGGGCGAUUACCACGGCAGGAUUCAUGACUGUGGUGAAGUCGUAACAAGGU
rnacentral:rRNA from 1 species